AUAUACAUACAUUAUAUAUAUAUGUAUACACACAUUAUAUAAUGGUGUAUAUAUGCUGUUGCAUAUAAUAUAAACCCCAUUAUAUAUGUGUAUAU
rnacentral:miRNA from 1 species